rnacentral:rRNA from 1 species
AAGCAUCUAAGCAUGAAGCCCCCCUCAAGAUGAGAUUUCCCAUUCCGCAAGGAAGUAAGAUCCCUGAAAGAUGAUCAGGUUGAUAGGUCUGAGGUGGAAGUGUGGCGACACAUGGAGCUGACAGAUACUAAUCGAUCGAGGACUUAACCUAAA